rnacentral:rRNA from 1 species
AAGGGUCCGGUAGGCGGACUCGUAAGUCAGUGGUGAAAUCUCAUAGCUUAACUAUGAAACUGCCAUUGAUACUGCGGGUCUUGAGUAAGGUAGAGGUAGCUGGAAUAAGUAGUGUAGCGGUGAAAUGCAUAGAUAUUACUUAGAACACCAAUUGCGAAGGCAGGUUACCAUGUCUUAACUGACGCUGAUGGACGAAAGCGUGGGGAGCGAACAGGAUUAGAUACCCGUGU